GAACUGAUGACAGAAGGUAUAUGUGUUGAUUUGUAAAAUCAUUAAUAGUGGUGACUCCAUUUCAGUUUA
rnacentral:tRNA from 1 species